rnacentral:lncRNA from 1 species
CAGACAAAGCAGGAUUACAUAUUGCGCAUGCCAAAGCACGGCUGUGCAAGACGUAGACUACUACAGAUAUACACACCCCAGGCCCGAGCAUAUAACACUGAGAAUCACCUCCAUAGUAAAGACUUCAAGAUGGGAUCAACUAUGCAUACAGCACAUACAAUCCCAUUCUGCAGACAAUGAAGCGGUAAUACUCAGAUAUGUAUGAUCUCGAUCGACAACACACUUAUUCCUUUCCUUGGAAGCUUCUAGUAGUCGUCGGUGUUGUUCCUGCCCGACCUACUCAUCGGAGCCGGACUUGUUGUAGCCUCCGCUGUAGUCAUCGGUUCCUGACUUGCUGCUGCGGCCAUAGUCAUCGCCGCUGGACUUGUUGUAGCCUCCGUCAUAGUUGUCCGUGCUAGACUUGUUGUAGCCACCGCUGCCAUAGUCGUCAGUGUUGGAGGUGUUCUUACCGCUGCCAUAGUCGUCGGUGCUCGACUUGUUGUAGCCGCUGCCGCCGUAGCCAUCAGUGCUGGAGUUCUUGUAGCCACCAUCAUAGUCGUCAGAGCUUGGCUUCUUGUAUUCGUCGCUGGUGGUGGACUUGCUGUAUCCACCACUGCCACUGUAGUCAUCGGUGCCAGAUUUGUUGUAGUCGCUGCUUAGGUCAUUGGACUUGUAGCCACCAUCGUUUCUGUAGUCGUCGGUGCUGGACUUGUUGUAGCCACCCCCGCUACUGUAGUCGUCCGUGCUGGACUUGUAGCCGCCACCCCCGCUACCGUAGUCAUCGGUGCUGGACUUGUUGUAGCCACCAGCGUUACCGUAGUCGUUGGUGCUGGACUUGCUGUAGCCACCUUCGUCAACACUGGUGCUUCUGUAGCUGCUGCGAUCAUACUCAUCAGCCAUUUUAAGUUGUGAAGUAAAAUAUCACAAAAAUAAAUUGUAUGCUCAGUUCUGUGCAUCCAUGGAGCAUGGGGUAGUAGGUAUUUAUAGCAGAGAACUAGAUACACAGGAGGUUUGAAAGCAUCAAUAGCAAUCUGAAAUACGGGUGGCUAAUAUGAUGGACAUUAAACGGUGAAAGCAGCUCAUUUGUUGUCUAGGUGGAGAUCUUUCUGUGCUCCUCGAGAAAAGACAACUGGACCUGGAGCAAUGCCAUAUGACCGCAAAGAGAAAAAGGAUUUUGAUCCAUCAAUACGUUUCAACCCUGAAAGAUAGCCAAUGCACCACAUAAGUGUUUUUUAUGUAAGCCAAACCACGUAUAAAUGUUGUCUGACGGAAACACACAUGGAAUAUCACAUCUUUUCUUAAACACCAACUGAACUUACUCUGUUUCCACAUCUAUAUGAGUAUCAAAUCUAUGUUAGUUGAUCAGUAAAUAAGAAUAUCCCGAAUAGACCAAUGGAUACUCACAUCUUGCACAAGUGGAUACAGCUGUAAGAAAUUACUUAAUUCAAAUUAGAAAAAACAUUUAGGAUUUGAACACAAAUUAAUCAGCAGGUUUUUAUAGUUUCACAACAAUAAAAUAUGUCCAUAAUUCUACGAAUCAUGUCAUUAGGACAACACAGUGUUAACUGUGAAAACUUAAAGAGUCAUAAAAACAAGGAAACUAUGCACCACUCAUAUAACAGAACCAUGUUAUGAGAUGAAAAUAGCACAAAAUGCUGAAUACCAUCUAGAGGUUUUGCAGCAUGGUGCAACGUUGCAUCCAAAACCAAGAUCUGAACAGGAUUUUUUCUAGUUUUUUAUCAUAACCACUAGCUUAAAAUAAAUAGGCCCCAACUGUGAAUAGGUAGGCCAGCCCAUUAAUGAUGUUUAAUUUGCUAGUGGUCAGGUCAGGGUUAGCAGCGUCUAGCAGCAAUACAAGCAAAGAAAAAUACUAAAGCAUAUUCCUACAAUUAUUUGUCACCAGAACCUGUCACUACUAUUCUGAUAAUUAAUACACCAAUUCAACUUGCUAUAGCAAACAUCUGUUUCUCAGUGAAAAGGGUUGGAACGUUUGUAGUUGGCUGCAUAAAACAUGCAGUUAGAGGCUUGCAGGUACAGUUGAGUUCUGAAUUGCCUACUUACCUUUAAGUAACUUGACAUAGUUGAUCUGAAAAUGAGUAACUAUAAAGAUAAAGGAGCAAUUGCAAGGCCUGAAAUUAGCCAUUCAUUUGUUUACAUAUUUCUCCAGUUCGCUUGGAAAAAUGGUGAUCCCUGUAGAUAAGACAAAAUCUGGGUAAAAGGUAAUUGCAAAUAGAAAAGAAAGAAAAUUCUGAUCAGACCAAAAUUCACAUCAGGAAAAACAAAGAAGCGAAAGAUAAUACACAAUCAUACAACUCACUAGAAAUUAGAAAACCCACAAUUUUCAUUCAUCUGUAAGGGUCUGAGCCUCUGAGGGUGUUACAAUUUGCAAGUAUGAAUGAGAUCAUUUUGUCUAGUGGAGUUGAAUGAGAUGUCUUUGUUUUAUUCAAAGCAUGGAACUGUCAGCAUGUGACUUAAGUAUGAAACAUAAUUUUUGCUUUUACUUGUAGAUAGAGUUGCCAGGAUGAGGAAAUGCUUUCUAUCAGGUCCAGUUUUGCAAACCCACCAUCCCACCCAACCCUGAAAAUCCCAUCCACAGAGAAGGAAUCCUGUCCUUCAUCAAACAAGCAGAGCUAUUUGUUUUCAGUUCAUUGAACCAAGACAUAAUUGCCCAAAAGUAAUGCUAAUUAUUUUCCGUCACUACAGUCUUGUAAAAAAAAACUCUUGAAUUAUAGCUAGGCUACACCAUUCUUCAUGAGCAGCCAAAGACAUGCAACAUGUAUAAUUGUAUCACAAUGAUUUGAGAGUAUCUUCCAGACACAAAUAGCUAGCUUUUUCUAGAUGUUUAAACAAAAUAUUUUGCACCUUUGUUAAAACUGUCAUGGCCCAGCUUCAUAAUGAUUCCAUUCAUAACAAGAAGAAUUUGCAUCCUAACCAGAAAGCAUAUGCAUCCUUUUUACAUAAUGAGAAAAUAAAUGUAAAACUGAACCAAGGAUCGACCAUUAUGGAAUGAUAACCUAAUUAGUUUCAGACAGUCUCAGAGCCCACUUUCAGAUAAACUGCUACAUAGAUAUAUCAAAGGACAAAUGUUAAGCAAAGCGAAACCACAGAAGUAUGAUGUUAUCUGCUCCUAUGAAACCCAUCUUUAGCGGCUUUUCUUCAUUAGAACAAAGAGAAUGGUACAAUGUAAAUGACCCAACUUCCCAGUGGGAAAAAGUAUAUUACAGAUAGACUGAGCUUUUGUUAAAAGAAACAAUGGGAUUAACCAUAAACCAUCUAGAAACUAAGAUCAACAACCAUUGAUACUUGAAGCAGAGCAUAUCAAACAUCAAACUAUGGCAGAUAAUGACUACACACUUUACAAGAACAGAACUAUGCCAACAAAGACAAGUCAUGUGUAAAUCAAUACCUUCAAGUAUAUCUUUAGCAAGGUCUGCCAGAUAAUGUUGCGGGCCAUAGCAUAUACUAGUGAGAUAUUUGCAAUAGGUGACACAACAAAUAGCCAAACUAAAAAUGCACUCUUUCUGUUCCUUUGUGAAAGAUGUAGGAUCAUGUGCAGAAAGAUUGGCAUAAUUUUCCUCCGGAAGGAGAGGCUGGUGUAUUGAUGUUCCAAGCCAACUGAAAUCUAUAGGAUUCUUGAUCUUUUCCAGGCAGGGUAAACCUUGGACUAGAAAUGACCAGCAAUGAAACGACAAAGAUAGCAUUUGUUUGCCAAACCCUUCACAAGUUGAUCUGAACUCAUUAUACUUCACUAAAUCAUGUUUUGCAGAACUUUCUGGACAUGAAGGAAAGGUGAACUUAGCCGCAGAUAAAUACUGCCUCAUCUCUCCCUUCAUAGAUUGAACAAGAAAAAACAAUGACUGCCCAGCACCUAUUAAAAAAUGCGACAGUGGCAUCAUAAAGGAACAUUCAGAUAAGAACAGAUGGUUCGUAGCUCCAGCAAGUACUAAUGAAUAAGCUGCUGCAGCUUUGGCCAUUCUAAUAAGAUCAUCACUUUUUUCUCCAUGCAAACUGCCUGUUUUUAAACUUAGGGCACGAAACCGGUAAGCAGAGGCAAGUGUCAUGUAAGCAGUGAAACAGAGAUGGUGAAGAGGGUGCAGUAUAUGUUUUCUCCCUCGAAGUUCCCCUUUCUGCAAAUCUCUCAUUAAGUUUUCAGAAAGCAUGCUUUCAAUCAUAUCACAACAAGCUUUGGCAUCAUCACCCAAUGAGUAUUCAGAUAUUGCUUGUUGCAAGUCAUCAUCCAAAUCCUCAACUGUUGGAGCUGCAACAGCAUCCUCUGGUUUAUUUAAGUCCCUAGCAUCACACUGAUAGAUAGUCAUGGAGAGAAGUGGUCAAGACAGUUUGUUUUUUUUUUGGCAAAAAGUGUAAGUGUUGACAACUAGGAACAUGUGCAAUAAGCUAAAAAUUCUAGUAAAAGUAUAAAAUGGGCUAAAUAAAACAUUGGUGUCACUAACUGGUGAAAGUAUUAUUAACUAUUUUCAGAGAAAUUUACAACACAGCAGCCAAGCUAUGGAAUUCAAUGGCAGUUUGCUAACAGUUUCCAUAACACUCCAUGACAAUGUGAUUGGAAAGUUUUAAUUGCUUGUGAACAUAGUGCCAACAAUAAAGGAAGCACAUGAAAAAUUGCAAAUAAAUUAUGAGAAUAUUUUAUCCCAGAUUGCAUUCUUACAUUCAAAAUAAGAUCCACAUAAGGUUCUGGUGAUGCUAUACAACGAUUGCAAGAACAAAUGAAUUUAUACUUUAACCACAGAUCCGAAUGCCUUGCUUCCUGGAAAGAGAUGUUAUGAGCAUGACAAGAUAAGUGAAUAAAGAAUGAAAUGCAACCAGUAGAAAAACUUCUUUUCCUCUUUAUUGACAUUGUAUGUUGGACCUCGGAUUGGUAACUACUGAUAAUUUUAACCAAGCUUUACUAAAACAAUUAAUAUGCAUUAACUAAUCAUUAGUGGAAAACACUAGUGAUGUGUAUGCCAGCAUACACCAAAACAUCAAAAGAAAAAAGGCUAGCCCAAAUUUUGUUUUCCUCUGUGAAAGUGGGGAGAAUUUGAAGACAAAUCGACAACUUUGUUUUUGCACACGCAAAAGCCUUGUCUUUAUAGAACAGAUGCAAAGAAACAUUAAGUUUUACACCACAUAGCAGGCCGAAGUGACUGCUAUGAAGUUAAAGACGAAUCUGGGAAAAAUGCUUAAACUAGUAUGCAACAAAGUUUAACAUGACAUGAGAAUUUGCAAAUGCAGAAUACAUUAGUAAGCAGGUAUGAUUGUUCAAGUCAAUAUAUAUCUUUUGCAUCAGCAGUGCAUGACUAAUAAGAGCGCCAUAUCGAAUAUUAACAACAGUGGCUCACAAGAAACCACAAUAACAAAAUUGAGUAAUAGUGUUAUAUGCUUGAAUUGGUGAAAUAUCAGGUGCACAAGAGUAAUACCGGUGAACAUAUGCACAAACUAAAUCUCCUCCCUCGGAUCCAAUCUGAAUGGCCCAAGUGACAGGUGGAAAUCACCCCAUCCCCUUGUCCACCUUUUAAUUGGACAAUCUAAUUGGGCCCUAUGUUAGCCCAAAAGGGAUAAGAGAACUUCCACCUCCCAUGUAGGCCUCUCAGAUUAGGUUCAAGAAACAUUAUUGAGUUUGUGCAUGUGUUCACCAAUAUACUCCUGUCCAUCUGAUAUUUACCCUUGAUAAUUUUGUUAAACAUGGAAUAACAGCAGUCACCAUAUCAAAAUGAAUUAGUUACGGGCCACCAACGUUCUAAAAUUAAGCACAAAAAGAAUAAUGUAUGGCCAUCUAAGAAACUAAAUACCGGUGCAACUAAAAGUCACCCAAAUAGCACACAUUACAAUGCAUUGCACAAGUUAACCUUGAUUAAAUUCUUCAAAAGAAUAAUGUAUGUUCAUCUAAUAUUUGAUCCUGAAUAUAUGAUAGUGACUGACUUAAUGUGUUGGUAAAUUGCAAAUAUGGGUUCAGCAAAAUUCGACAAAAAGUACCUUGGUCUGGAGAAGAUCAAUGUAUGUUAUGCAAACUUCAUCUCCCUUGAUAAUUGGUUUUGUGCAACGAACAACAACUCUGGGACCAUAUUUGCAGAGUGCUAGGAAAUAAUUAGUGAGAAAAAGUUUAGAAUGAUGCAUUCAUAUAUUGCAACAUAGUCAAAAAUAAUGAAAUACCUUUGGUAGAAUUUGCUUCCUCAUACUGCCAAGUAUGCCACUGGAACCAAUAACAAACGCAAUGAUUCAAUGUACAAUAAUAAAGUAAUAGCUCAAGUAAAGAAAAUAAGUGCUUUCCUAGAAGCUAGAAACCAUGCAGCCAAACUAUUCAAUUUUCAUAUAAUUAGUAUCUUUGCAAAUACUUGGAUCUAACGAACAAAAAUAACAGAAUUAGAUCUUACUCAAAAGAUACUUUCACGAUACUUUAUUUUAUCUGGCUUUAUGAAUAUAUUACAACAGACUGAUGGCCAAAGGUGUGUAAGGGAUCCAUGUCCAAAAGGACACUUACAGUGAUGAGUGACCUGAGUAUAAGCAUUCGAUUAUAUUCUCUUAGUAUAUGAUGCAAGCAAAAGUUCAUCAGGUACUAAACAAAAUGGUAAUCAGUUUCCUUUACCACAUCAGCUGCAACUCCUUUGCUAGCAGGGACUGCCCAUGAUUUUGAUUUGUGUGAAAUACAGUCUUCAUUCUUUGGAGCCAAUACAAACCGGUACGAAGCAUUGGGAAAGCAGCUAUGGUUGAACCAUGAGAAACUUGGGCCAUACACAGAAAUUCCCAUUGCCAUCCCUUCACUAAGCUGUACCUCAACACUAUUUGUAAUCACUGCCCAUAAUGCCAUCCUCUCAACUUUAAGCCCAUCGGAGAAGCUAACAUAAGUCUCUGCCCUUGAUUUUCUAGCAGAUGACAUCAAUAAGCUCCCCUCCAAUAUCCUCUCAGCAAUCUGUUCCCCUUCCUCCAGAGCUUCUUCAAUUCCACUUGCUGAAAGUCCACCAAUUCUACUGAAGCGGUUGAUUUGAUCAGAUGAAACAAGACCGUGCAUCUCAAGCGCAUAAAGAAGGCGGAGUGCAGCACGCAAAUCACUUGUUCCUUCAGUAACAUAGUUAGGGGAGGCUCUCUUGAGGUGCUCCACAAAGAAGCAACAUUCACCAGAAGAAUAAUGCACCAGUGAAUCUGAGCUUAAGCACUCUGAGCAGCAGUAUCGAACAGAGCAGCAUGUAGUGCAAGACAUGACACAGGGAGAUUGUGGCGGUAAUUCGCUGAAGCAUGAUGAGCAAUGGGAGUGGAGGAACACGUCAUGUAGGGCGAUGGCGUAUGGUGCGAUUGCCCCAGUUAGGUCCUCCGACAUGUUUACAGAUUCCCGAGCCCUCAUCUCCAUUGCCAUGCUUCGAAGCUUCCUGACCUGUUACGAGGUUCUGUCUGCAAAUAGCAUAAAAAUGAAAACUUUAAACAAAGAACAGAACUUGGUAUUUUCUUUAUUUCUCUUUUUAUUUCUCCUUUGAAGUAAGUUGUUUCCACCUGAACAUCAAUCUUGUGCACUCACGCUUAUCAGACUUAAUUCAGGCCCAACAACUUGAGAAGAUAGCCCAAUGCUUAUCAAAAGUGAACUACUUGAUGUCUUGAUCCAAAAGUAAGCUAACUACGCUAACUGAUGCAGUGAUGCUACAACCACCCCAAACACGCGUAAAAUAAAUUCCAACUUUUUUCCUCCAAAAUCCAUAGAUUCAGCGAAAGAGGAACUGAAGCAAACUAGAUCAGGCAAACCACUACAGCAUCUAUAAGCAGCGGUUGUGUACCAAAAACUGAUAAAUGCACAGCUGAUUUUUGUCCCAAUCCACCAAUGGCGUCGCUAACUAACUUAGGUCUAGAAACACCAAACCCUUUCCCUAACUAACUUGGGAGAGGCUCUACUUGCCUUUGAUCGAACGCAGCACCAGCACCGUCCACGGACGAGUCUGCGACGGAGGCGGAUGUCAGGAUGUGUAGAGGAGAGAGGAGAGGGACCAAGGUAGCGGCGGCCGCAACCCCCUUGUCGGCCGCAGACUAGCAGUCUCGUUGGAGAGACGGAGACGAGAGAAGAUGGGCCGCGAGAGAAGCUGGGCCACAGCCCAUCUAAAUUUCAGAGAAGCUGGGCCACAGCCAGUCUAAUUUCUAUUAUUUGUACGGCCCAUCUAGUUCUGGUCAUGGGUAAACUAGGCCCGACGAGCCCGAGCCCGACCAUGAUCUGGGCUGGAUGUGAUCCUCGCAGCCACAACACUAACGAGAUGUCUAAAUUCAAAAACACAAAUGCGCAGCAAAUUCAAAUCAAAAUUUGACAUAUAUAAUAUAUAAAUAUAAACACAUGUUACUUUAGAAUAUUGACAUUAAUUUGGCAAGGGCCGCGCGAACGCGUACCCCCUCUUCCACAAAUUAUGACGUCCACUCUCCCGUUUAGGAAGAUGGUAAGCCAAUGCUCCUCCCAAGUGCAAUGGAGGCCAUUGAUUUAGGCCAUAGCUCUUCUUGAUCGGCUAUCGACCCCGUCCAGGUAAGUGAGUUUGAAGGUGCCCCUUGGUAUUGCUUUAUUGCUCCCCAGCAUCUUCUCCCGGUUUCGUUAGCCGAUGCGGUACUAUUGCGUCCGCUAAACCGGUGGUCUGCGCCUUGUACUAAUUGCGCGGUCAGGACUCAUGGUGUUCGUAUUGGACUCGGCCUAUAUCUGCAACUCUGUCAAGGCCCAAGCUAUCCCGGCCCGGACGAGCAGCACAAGGGGCCGUUCUGUCCGGCCCAGGUAGAAAUUUGUGAGUGAACCUAGCCAACCCACACGGCCGCAUUUUUUUUAUGUGCUUUUAGUCUGUUUAUAAACAAGUUUCCAUCAACAAAGACGUGCAAUCUCAACCUACAGAAACCAACGGUACAGCACAGGAAUUCAGCUUACUUUCAGAUUCAGGGGCUUCCAACAAAACUUCAAAUCAACCGUCGCUGGUCAUUGUGAAAGCAAUGAGAAUGCAGGACAAGGUGAAGAUGAUCGUCCCUGCGGCGAAGUCCAGGAUAGCCCUCUGGACUUAUAAGCCGGCUGAAAAGCUGAAACGGCUGAUUUGUUGUGAGAGAAAAAUACUGUUCGGUGGCUGAUAAGCCGAAGCGAACAGAGACCCUGCUUUUCCUGACCAGCCAGCUCAACGUCUUUUAGCAGGCCCCUGCUUGUCCGAGUCCUUGGCGGCAUGGACCAGCCUGCUUUGGACCUCAUCAAGCUUGGCCAGCCAUCUGGCUCGGCUGGCAUCUCAGACGGACCAGAUGAAGCCCGUCAUCCUCCACAGCAGGACGCCUACGUAGAUCGCCACGAUGCAGUCCACGCUGUAGUGGUGUCGCUCACGUAUCUCCCUUUGCGUGCUGUGCAGGAUGAGGAGCCAUAUCACGACGGAGAUCCAGCCCCCAUAUGCUUCCUGUGAGCGUGAAACAGAUGGAAAUGGAGUUGGUAUGACUUGAAAUUUAGAAGUGGUUAAUAUGAUAUGUGAGGAAAGGUAGUAGACAGAUCAGAAUGAAUUGGUGGCCUUUGAAAGGUAGUUUGGUUUCUAAUACAAGAGGACAUAUGGAAAGUGUAGCACAUACCGUCCAUGCCAUUGCAGUAAGAACAGCAACAAGCAUGUGUCCACUGUACAUAAGGUCAUUGCAACCACCACUAGCUUUCUUCAACAGAUGGUACCAUGAUGGACCUUCUCCAGGAAUCGGUCUCAAAAUAUCUACCAGGAAGCUCAUCCGUCCCCAGUCAGGCCUAUAUUCAUCUGGAUAAGCUUGAACAGCAGCUGUAAAAGUAUAUAAGAAUACUUUAGUCUCCACCACCGUACAAAACUGAAUAACUGAUAUACCUGUUAGGUGAUAUGACAAAUGAACUAACCAUAUGCCAUGUCAUGUGUUAUGACUCUACGAAUAGCAUUUGAAUCAGAAGCAUAUGGAACAUAGUAUUUUUGUGCCCAAGGAUGAGGAUGCUGAGGUAUUUGAUAACGAGCUGCAGCACACCAUGGUCUUGCAGAUGGAAGAAUAGUAGCAAUGAAUGUUAUUGUCCGAAGAAAACGACCAAUUGCCAUAGUGAACAUAUAUCUUGUGGCUAUACCAAGACCAGGAGCUUUGAUGCAGUCAAACAGAACUGAGAACCCCAGCAUGAUAAACAACAUCAAAUAAUGGUGAAGAGUGAUAACAUGAGCUGAGUAGAUUGACAAUGCUUUGAGGGAGCUUCUCGUUCAGUGAUAGAAGCAGCCAUUGACCAGUGUCAGGAAGCGGUGCAGCAGAUCUGUUAAAACCAGCAGACUUUAGUUUACAAGAAUUUCUGUAGAUUUAGAAUUCAAGUAUGUAUAUGUGGACCAGGAGUGAGUGCACACAACUAAACUACAUAGAGAAGGUCGAAGUUGAAAAAGGCAGUAUUGCUACUGUCUCCUUAUCAGUGGGAAGCCAAGCUCUGUCCUCUUGGGGUCCUCUUGAGUGGAGCUCUUAUCUGACUAGAAAGCCAUUCAAAACUUUAUCGAAGAACCAGCGUUUAUCGAAGAAGCCAGUUUAUAACCCCUAAACAAAAUAGGAAGAGGAGUACUUCACUAUACAGAGGCUGGGUUGUGUUCACAAAGUAUCAUAAAUGCAAUAAUAAAUUACAAUUAGAUGUAAACCAUGGCCAAAUAAACUAGUAAAUGUGAGAAUCCCAUCAAAACAGAGUUGUCUGAAUUUAUUACAUGUAUUCUUGCUAGCAUAGGACUAAACUGUGUUGGGUUAGAUUUUGAGAGCAAUGCAUAUGCCUAAGGAAUCUACUAAGCCCCAAGCUCUAGUGAUGAUUAUGCCUUCCUUACCCACUAAACCUCUUGAUGCUCCUAGUAUAUCCCAAAGAUAAUUGAUGCUUUACUUGAACUUUAAUCUUUUUAGAGUGCCAAUUGCCGUUAAAUCAGAACAGGAUCAAGCAGUCAGUUAUCACACACUCACAAUAUCAGCAGACUUAAUCUAGCUAGUCAAUAGCAACAAUGAAUCAACAAGGUUCCAUUUAAACAAUUGCACAGACGCCUAUCACCACGAAUGCUACUUUCUGCUGCAAUCAGCCUAUUGAUGUGUAAUCCUAGACAAUAUUUUGAGCACGUUAUCUUCUAUACCAAUACUUUGAGCAGUUUAAAUCUCAGCCUCGCAGCUUCAACUAUUUCGCACACUCACUAACAAAACCCCCUAAAGCUCGCCAAUACAAGCAAAACUCUGCAAGAUCACACCAUAUUUCCACGAAUAACUCUAAACCCGUAUGUUUCAACACGACCUACCAAAACAAAGUUUGCAGCUCAAAAGCUAAAAUCUCUCCGAAAUCCAGCGAGCCUUGGCCCCCAAAGCACCUCAAUAGGUGAGGAAAACGAUGACACGCCGGCUGCGCCCCGGUUCCCCAGAAAGACAAGAAGCACCGACCUGUGCCACUGGAGCGCCAUUACGGCGGAGACGAAGCGGACGGAGAUGGCUUCGCAGAGGAAGGCGGCGAGCAUGAAGGCGAUGGAUCCCAGGAAGGGCAGCGCGGCGCGCAGCUCGGCGGACAAGUGGCGAUAGAACGGGGCGCGCGCGGCCGCCGCCAGCGCCGCCCAGAGCGCAGGCUGCAGCCGGUCGUGCCACGCCGGCGAGAGGUCCACGCCCACGUACGCCAGCACCGCGAUGCCCAGCCCGCCGAAGCCGAGGAGCCGCCGGGUCGAGGCCUGCGGCGGCUUCGGCCUCGGUGCCCUCGCCUUCGCCAUGGCCGGAUCGCCCGCGAGGGUCGUCGAGAGGUCACUUGGUCAUGGACUGGUGUCUAGGCAUGCGAGUGGUUCUAGUCGACUGAUUAAUUACGAUGACUAUAUUUAUCCUCCCAAAUUAUUUAUUUAUAUAGAAUACUAUUUUAGUUUAUUUUAUCAACUUUUUUAUCGAUUAAAUGAACCAUGACCGGACACCGGAGUCGGGGACGCUCAAAGCUAGGAGCUCCGACCUCCGAGUGCUAUGUUGGGCUUGGGUGGGCUCGGGCCCGAGCCUACACAACCCAAAACUAGAUUUUACGGGCUUUCUUGGUCACAUUGCAUCGAUUAUUUGAGCACCACAAGAUGGUUUCAAAUAAAAAAGUUUGAAUCGUAGAUUUCAUUGAAAUCGACAAUUACCGUUUAUCUUCGUCCGAGUUCACAUGAAAAGAUUAUGAUUUUUUAAGAUAUGUGCUGCUCAAAGAAGGAAAAUUUCGCCAAUUUAAUUAGGUGUAGGGUGGUCUAAGUUAAAUUCCGCUGUUUCAAUUAGCUAUAGCGAUAUAGAAUUGUAAUUUUUUAAGAAUAUAUGUUUUUGCAAAACACUAAAAUAAAAAAAUAAAAAAGAAAAAAUUCGACGGGCAUAGACGCUCUUGCACUCGACAUCAGCUGCUUCCAAGCUCCUGCCCGUGCUUUAGGCCUGCCACUGGAGAGGGUACGGGCAAACCUACUCUUGUUCACACCCAAAUUCAAAUAAUUAUCAUCUACUCCUUACCCUCCUCAAUCCCAUUCAUAUCCAAUAGAUAAUUAACUUUGUGCUACGUAUGUAUACUUAUCCAAUUAAUUAAUUAUGUCCUUCCGAUACCCUACCCUCUCUAUUUAUACCUGUACCCCUCAAUUGAUAAUUGAUUAAUAGAGAGGGUACGGAUACCCAGCGGUGGGCCUACCGUGCUUUGGGCGGCAGGCCUCGUCCGUCGUCGUCGUCGGUCGGCCGGUGGGCCUCGCCGCGCGUUCGUUGGUGGUCUGGGCUCCUCCUGCUGUGUUGUCAGGCCCAACCCCAACAGCCGUUUCUGUUGGUGGGCUGGCCCAUCAAGAGCCCAACUCCGUAGCCAUCAGCAUCGCUGCUGCUUGUGCUUCUCCGGUUCUCCCCAAGCUCCGGCCGUUUCCAGACUUGCAGCCGCGCCUGCGCCGUCUCUCUCGGUCUCACUCCCAUAAACCCCCAAAACCUCUCCCGGCGGCGCCCCCAGCCCGCCCCCCCCAAUGGCGGUGGAGAAAUCCGGCGGCGCUGCCGCCUCCUCCUCCUCCUCCACCGCCGCCAUGGACCGCUUCCAGAAGAUCGUCCUCAGCUGGGACUACCUCCGCCUCGUCGCCGAAUCCAAGGUACACGCAUCGACCCCGCCCACGCCCACGCCCACAUCCACCUGCCCGCCGAACCACCCGUAACGACGAGCUUAUCAAAAACCCUAACCUUCUCUUGCUUUGGGGCAGGGCGGCAAGCAGGCGAAGGGGCUGCAGCGCGUGAAGGACACGUACAAGUCGGUGGCCGACUACCUCGGCGUCUUCGAGCCGCUGCUCUUCGAGGAGGUCAAGGCGCAGAUCGUCCGGGGGCGCAGCGACGAGGAGGAAGAAGGUAAGGGCGCGGGCGCCUGGGCUGCGCUGCGCUUCUCUCUCGCCGCCGCCCGUUGUUUGCUCUGAUUUCGCUGGUGGGUUUGUUAAUUUGGAUUCUUAAUUCGUGGCUUUGCCUCGUGUGGGUGUAUGCAGAUGCUGGGCUCGACUGGCAGAGGGUGGCGGUGGGCUUGUGCGCGGAAUCCGAGGGGUUCCAUAAGUUCUCCAUGGCGGUGGAGAACGAUUUUCGGGAGAAUGUGGGGGAGAAUGACCUAGUGCUGCUCUCCAAGGAGAAAGUAAGUGCUGUGCAAGUAAAUUCGGCAGUUUAGCUGGUCCUUUUAUGCAAGCAUCAAGGUACUAACUACUGACAAUUUGAUGGGAGGAAAUGUCUCGUAAGUCAAACUAUUUUGUUAUAUAAAGUCAAAACUAUUGUUUUGUAGGUGGCUAUGUGCAUAAUAGUUGAAAAAUCGUAAACCAGGCAUUCUCUAGAUUUGUGUUCCUUAGGGGCAGUAUUACCUUUAGGUACUUAGUUCUUACCUUUUGGGCAUUUUUUUCUAGGAACAGAGCAAAAUGUGCCAUAAGUUAUGUGCAGUGCUUACUCAUAUGAUGAACUGGUGAAUUGCCAAGUACAUGUAUUAUACUCAUGAUGAACUGGUUGUGCCUGCACUUUUGCAGUUUGAGGAGGGAGUGACCCCUACUGCGUACGCCUUUGCAUUGGUGGAACAGCGUGGUGGUAGUGCAACUAUUUCUCUUAGAGCUUUUCUGGCAGGCGAAAUUCAAAAUCUGAAUGUUUCCAAGCCUGUGAACGCUCCAAGGCUGCAGCGUUUUGCUUCCAUUUUGGCAGCUGAGAGCAGCACCCUGUGGAUAUUGAAGGUGUGUCAAAAUUGUUCUGAGACAAGCUCCUGAGUUUUCAUGCCAGCAUUGUUUAUUGACAGCAUGUACUACUUGAUUUGGCAUUUUCUGGUAAAAAUUUUCAGGUCUGCAGCUUGUCAACUAUAAUGCGGGAGUUCACAGCUAUGCAUUCUGUAGCUUCUCUUCCUUUUAAGGACUCGAUUCUUUCAGCUGCUGAGAAGCAUAAGGAUGGUGAUGAUCAAAGUCGUGCGUGGAAUGUCCCUCAGCCACUUAUGGAUCACCUCAAAGCAAAUCUUAAUGAUUCACAGCUAGAGGCAGUCAAUGUGAGCAUCCUUUGUCAUUUUUGGUAUUGUUCAUAUAUCUAUUGUAUCUAAUAUCUGUUUUAAAGGCUGCGACUCUGAUAUAUUACUGUACUGUCUCUAGGCAGGUCUUUCGCGCAGAUCAUUUGUUCUUAUUCAGGUUUGUUAUGUUUUCACUACUACCAUUGAAUUUGCAUUGUUAUUGUUUACCUACCUUGGUUAUGAAAGUACUGUAAUUAUCUUAGCAGUCUUUAGAUAUUUGUUUUUUGUUUAGAAGGCUAUGCAGAUACAACACAUUACACUACUUAGUUUUUGUCCUAGGACACAUUAAGGAGUUAAGAGUAAUGUGCAAUUUACUGAUUUAUGUACUUGUAACUGUUGAUUUGCAGGGUCCUCCAGGAACUGGAAAGACUCAAACUAUCCUUGGACUCCUCAGUGCUGUUCUCCAUUCUGCUCCUGCAAGAAUGAAGACAAAGUAACAAAAUACUUGUUUAUUCGUUUUUCAGUGUAUGGAAUAGUAAUUCUAUUUUUGAGGAUAGAUAAAUCAUCAUGUUUAAAAAAUGAGAGGAGAUAGAACUGAAAUAUGAAGUUUGACUGAAUUUUUUGAAAGCAUAUCCACCCUUUUUUUUUCCCUCUGCACAUUCUUCAUUCAUAGCUAAACUUGGCACAUGCAUCUUGUAUUCUUUUUGAUCCUGUAAUGCAGAGGAGGAUUUGAUGUUCAAAGGCAUGGACCAGAGCUGGACAUUGAUGGCAAGUAUGUUGAAAAUUGCAGAUUUCCUAGUUAAUUUCUGUCAUAUUUAUUUCGACUUUUGGCAUCGAAAUUGGGAGCAUAAAAAGCUGAGUAAGAAUGUCUAACAGCCUCAAUAUUAUUAGUUUUCCUUGCAGUUUUGAAAUGCUCCAUCCUUAACUUAUUUUUCUUAUAGUUCUGCAUGGUUGUUUAAGUCACUAGAAAUUCCUUAGUUUUUGACAUUUCUCUUAUUUUUUGGAUAUCUUAAAUCCACUAAAUGGAACUAGGCCUUGUUGGAAGGAUAUGACUAUUGUUACUUUACACAUGACACCAUCUUCUGUAACCAUCUUUAAUAUCUAACUGGUGCUAUAUGGAAACUGAUAAGAAUAUGAUUUUUCAGUAUACUACUGGUUCCAUUUUUACAUGCACAGUACUACUGCAAUUUUUUCUUGGUGCUAAUAUUGUGAAUUUCACAUGACAGGUAUGCACACUGGGUAAAAGCAUCUCCUUGGUUACUUGGUGCAAACCCUAGAGAUUUGAUUAUGCCUGUCGAUGGUGAUGAUGGUUUUUACCCCACUGGAAAUGAACUGGUACUCUUCUGUUCUGUGUACUUGCUAAAAUUGGUCCUGGUGCCUUGAUUAUUUUACCCCUUACAAGGCAAAAAAAAUUCUUUAUAGAAACCUGAAGUUGUAAGUUCCAGUCGCAAGUAUCGGGCCCAUGUGUUGGUCUGUGCUCCAUCCAACUCAGCACUCGAUGAGAUUGUGUUACGUGUUCUUAACACAGGUAAAUGUUUCGGUGCUAAGUUAUCCAAUACAUAUACUAUGCUCCCAAAACCUUUUUCACUUUUUGCAUCUUAUGCAUUUUGUCACUAAGUGGACUAUACCAUUAGCAUGCAUUAUUUUUUUGCUCACAAAUCAUUAGGAUGCAUCAUGAGCAAAUUAAGAAAUGAAAUAAUGCUUCGUUUUUUAGGAAUUCGAGAUGAAAAUAACAACACUUACAACCCUAAAAUUGUGCGCAUUGGAGUGAAGGCACAUCAUUCUGUUAAAGCAGUUUCUAUGGAUUACCUGGUACGUGAUUUAAGCUGCAAAGCAUUUUCUGUCUAACUUAACUUCUAGCAACUACAAUGAGUCCAUGCCUUUGCAGAUACAACAAAAACUUUCUGGUGUAGAUCGCACAUUAGAUGGUGGGAGACGAGGGGCUGGCGAAUAUGAUCGGAUUAGAGCUUCAAUACUGGACGAAGCGGCCAUUGUACGUCAUCUGCUAUUGUAGUAGUAGAGUUUAUCUAUUAUAAUUUGUUCUCAUUGUGAAGCAAAAUUUGUAGGUAUUUUCUACUCUGAGUUUCAGUGGAUCAUCAAUUUUCAGCAGGAUGAGCCGUGCUUUUGAUGUUGUUAUAAUUGAUGAAGCUGCACAAGCAGUGAGGAUAUCUUUUAAACGUUGCUUUUAUUAUGGAGCAUUUACAUUAUUAACUGGGAUAUUGGCAUAUCCUCUAAGCCUCUAUUUUAAGUAAUAUUUCUGAACUUUACCUUAUAUUCUUGUUUUUCAGGUGGAACCUGCAACUCUUAUACCCUUGGUCCAUGGGUGCAGACAAAUUUUUCUUGUAUGUUGUCCACUUUCGCAUUUGUUUCUACACAUUUUUUUCUUUUCUUUAAGCAUUUCGCUCCCCCUUAUGCAAUAUGUAUAUUAUUCAUUGGUACAGUACCUUAUUAUACGAUAGAAGUCAGGCACCGCACAUGAUAUUUUGAAUAUAUCCUCUUCUCAGGGUUGUAGUACAUAUAGGAACAUUUCUCUCUCUGGGCUUAUGUCCACAUCAUGCUUUCAUUUCUUUGGUGUGCGUGUGUCCAGUCUCACCAUUUUGCUCAAUUUCUAUCACUUAAAAAGUGUUAUAUUAGUAUCUUGGCUCAUGAGUGCACUGACUAUAGCUUUCGUUAGUGAUUCACUAUAGCAUUCACUGUCUCUCCUAAUAUCCUAAUCAGGUUGGUGACCCAGUUCAGUUGCCCGCAACAGUCAUUUCAUCAACUGCUCAGAAAUUGGGGUAAGAUGAUCCUUAUUUUCUUUAUACUGUUCCAAAUUGUUCAGGUGCUGUAAUUGCUAAGGUGAUGCUCUUUUUAUCUGUUAGAUAUGGAACAAGCUUGUUCAAAAGAUUUCAAGGUGCUGGUUUUCCAGUGCAAAUGCUUAAAAUUCAGUAUCGCAUGCAUCCAGAGGUAAAUCUCCCAUCCUCAGCAGCUCAAUCUUUCUUAAGCCGGAAACUGGAAUGGUUUUUGUAAUUCAUUAUUCACUCAAACAGAUUAGUAUCUUCCCUUCAAAAGAAUUUUAUGAAGGGGUACUACAAGAUGGAGAGGGUCUCAGCAAGAAACGCCCAUGGCAUUCCUACACCUGCUUCGGACCAUUUUGUUUCUUUGAUGUUGAUGGUGUUGAAUCCCAGCCACCUGGAAGUGGUUCUUGGGUGAAUCAGGAUGAAGUGGAAUUUAUAACUCUCCUAUAUCAUCAACUGGCAAUGCGCUAUCCAGAACUCAAAUCUAGUUCUGAAGUGGCUGUGAUAUCACCGUACAGGCAGCAGAUGAAAUUAUUGAGGGACAAUUUUCGGUUGACCUUUGGGGAUCAAUCAAAGGAAGUGAUAGAUGUAAACACUGUUGAUGGAUUCCAGGUAACAAACUCAUAUGUAUUUCAUGAAUGGAAUUUCUUUACUUGUCGGCUCUGUGCCUCGUAUAUUCUUGCAAGUAUCAGUGAUGUUGUAUCUCACUGGUUGUAUUUAGGGCCGUGAAAGAGAGGUAGUCAUUUUUACAUGCGUAAGAUGCAACAAGGAGCAAAAAAUUGGGUUUGUUUCUGAUUUUCGGCGAAUGAAUGUUGCCAUCACAAGAGCUAGGUCUGCUGUACUGGUAACUGCCUCUUCUCCAAGCUUUAAACUUUUUUUCUUUAAUAUUUUGUUUUGCACUAUCUGCAGACUGCAGUAACAUUGGUACCAUCUUAUGCAUGAUACUCAUGGCAAGUCUGCACUCAAGGUCUCAACUCAGAGAUAUUAGCAGGUUAUAAAUGUAAUAAUUAAGGAGCUAGGAGGUUACAAAUUUAAUUAUUAAAGGUUACAGUUUAAUAAUUAAGGAGCUAUGUGGCCUAACAAGAUAUAUACAGAAUGGUCCAGAUUCUCUUGCAUGCAUCCAUACAUGUAUAAGCAGCUUGUUCAAGGAUGCUGUUUAAUUGUUCAUGGUUGCAUCCAUCUUCAAGAUUUAGCUGACAUUUAGAAACCCACUUUCUUUGCUCAUGUUUUGUUAUACACUUACACUUGGGUCGUUUACUUGUAAUUCCAAAUAUUAAUCUGCAUACCACAGGUUGUAGGUUCCGCUUCAACCCUGCAGAAAGAUGAGCACUGGAACAAUCUUGUCGAGAGUGCCAAAGAGCGAAACCGCUACUUCAAGGUGCGAUUGCGAUGGGCUACUCUUGUUUCUCAGCUUGAAAGAGCAAAAACAUCUGGAUGAAUCCAAAUUUUGCAUAUCUUGCAGGUUCCCAAGCCAUUCGGUGCAUUCUUUGCUGAGGAUAACCUGGAGACCAUGGCGGUGAAACCACAGAAGGAUCCUCGUCCUCCUGAGCAGAAUACUGAAGUGAUGGAAGGAAUGAAUGAAGCAGCGAUGGGGCGGGAGUUUGAUGCUGCCGACCAAGCAGAUGCAGGGGAUGACGACGAUGCUGAUAUGGAUGCUGAUGAUGGAGGUGGCGAUGACUGAUUGUAGGAUGCCAUAGAGGUGUGGCCUGGGAUAGAGCAAUUGUGUUAGAGAACUGGUACAUAUAAAGGAUAUUAGGGUUUUCUUGGGUGGAUAUGGAUGUUGACGAGGCUUGAAAACAGAAAUUUGGAGCAGCUAUUCUUUUUGUCUUAAUCCAAUUUUGGGAGGAAGAGAUGUCCGGAUGCUUAAGUUACACUACGAACAUUACUCGUUUAUGAGACUGUAGACGUGUCAGAUACAUCUUUCUUGCGUACGUUUUCCACGUCGCAUUUGUGCACCUCAGAAAUCAGUUUGCCAUGCCUUAGAGAAAUAAUACAAGUUUAUUUUGAGGAAGCAGAAUGGCAGGCGUCACGUGCCGCUGCACCUGCACAUGUAACCGUGAGUCAUGACCUUAAAAGGGAGUCAAGAGUGUCCAUCAGCCAAACAACAGAAUUUAAGCACACAGACAACAAGUGGCGGCGCUCUCGUGAGUGAUGAUGUUUUUGAGUAUGAGGUGAAGAGUGUUUUGUGGGAUUGGGAGGCACCGGAAUUCCUGGCUGUAGAAGGCGGUACUGAGCCACUGUCCAUUAACCCAUGCUAACCUGCAGUUCCAUUGGAUGAGACGAUAGACAGGUGCCAGUACUCCGAUAGACAUCUCUAGGCUGUGACACCAAAUCACAACUACGGAGACGUUGGCUUCCCCUUCCUUACGCCGCUGCUCCAUGUAGCAUUGGAAUUGAUUGUUCUUUUAGAUGGACAGGCAUGAUGGGUCUUCACCUUCAGCUUCUUUACGCCAAGUCGAUACCCAAAUGGGAGGACCCCCUCCAGAUAGUCGCACCACCAUUGGCCGGCGCUCUCCUCCAACGAACCUUUGCGCAUUGGCCUCCAUGCCAUCGAGCAUUUCCAUAUCCUCCUGAUCACCAUUGUUAUGUCCUUCCAGCUCUGUUUAUGAAAAUCAUGUCAUUACGAAUUAGCCAAUGGAUUGUGUCCUUGUUAUCCGGAACCCCUAGCUAAUGCUAUUUUACUUUUGCAACCGUCAUAAUUAAUGUGUAAGGUCACGCCCUGCUUUUAUCCCAGAUUCACGGUUCAACAACCUGUUCAAUGCCAAAUGUCUCCAUGGCUCCCAAGAGUAUGGGGAAGCAAGAGCUCUGCCCAAUCACUACUAGAAAGAAAUACUAGAAAUAUGAACAUUUGUCCUUAACGUCAGUACCGGACAGCUUUUCAUCCGGUACUAACGGGCGAAAUUAGUACUGGUAUAAUUUCUCGAUCCUCGGAGGUUUUAGUACCGGUCAGUGUUAUUACCCAGUACUAAAAGGCCUCGACCAUUUAGUAUCGAGCAAUAAUACCAGUACCCCGUAAAGUACCAUUUAGUACCGGUCAAUAACACCAAUCAGUACUAAACAUUUAAUACCGAUAGGCCUCUCCACGGGUUACCUCAAAAGGAAAAUAUUACCGGUCAGGCGUCCGGUAAUAAAGGGUUACUGACCGGUACUAAAAGUCACUUCCCAGCAGUGAAUGGUGGAGCUAGAAAAAAAAUAUGCACCAAUUCACACCGCAUGUACAUUACUAUGGUAGAAAAAAAUGUAGCACAAAAUUAAAGGAGUAAUAACACAACCUCAAAUUUGAAGAACAAAUUUGCAAAUACGCUAUACAUUGUAAAAUACAAAACAUAUUGCGGAUCGUCUGAUAUUGCUUUGUGUAGUACUGCCAGCUGCCGCUCCUCCUCUAUGUGCUCGCAGCUCGCGCAGUCGGCCGCCAACACUACUGCCGCGCUUCAAGACCUUAGAAGGGAGUCAAGACUGUCCAUCAGCCAAGCAACAGAAUGAGCGCGCACAAACAAAAAAGCGUGGAUGAGCCAAGACGCCGUUGUGCAUGAGGUGAAGAGUGUGUAUCAUGGGAUUGGGAGGUAUUGGAAUGCCUGGCUAUACAGUACUGAUCCGAGCUAGCCACUGCCUGCCAUGCCCAUGUUAAUUUGUAGCCUCGUUCGAGGGAUCGGCAUCGAGAAGCAUUCCGUGGGCCGUGACAACACGCUUCCCAUUCGUUGCGUUGCACUGCUCCGCAUCGCGUCGACAUUGAUCAUGUCCUCUGUUCUCGGGGCUUGCACAAGCGCUCAACCCUCCGUCAGUCGCAGGAUUGGGACGGAGUAAGCUGCCGCCCUGCUUCAUCCCCGAUUCCGGUUCGACAAGCUGUCCCCCAAAUAUUGCACAGUAACUACCUCACCGUCCGAUUAGGAAUAGGUGCACCGAGAGUUUGUCGGCGGUUCCAGAAAAGCAUAUAAAAAAACAUGUUGGGGACGGGCGGACGGCUAAUUAAUUCUGGCUCAUGGUUUGUCGUUUCCAAAACAAAAUACUUCCGUCGGAACGAAUGUGAGCUACUCCGCAGUAACUGGCUAACUGCAGGUUGGAGGUUGGUCAUUUUUGUUUCAGUCUUGUCUUUCGCAAUUGGAUCCGUUAGCAACAGGGCAGACCCAAUCCAACACACUAGCUAUAAUUUCCAUAAGCUCUACGUCGACAAGAAAUAGGUACUAGACACUACUUUUCUGUAGCGAACAUAGUCCUAUUAGAUCAUAGUUUGUGAUGAUUGAGUUACAACAUGAUCAUUGGGACUAAUGAUUUGUUUAGAUUACAUUGAAGGUUUUCUAGUCAUAAGGAAGCAAACCACAAAAAAAACCACGCGAAGAAAUGAAGAUUUAUCCACCGAUGCAAUGCACUGACUCAUUCGGUGAUGGCAAGAAACACCACUGAAUCAGUCGGCGAUAUGAUGCGCACAAGCUAAUUGGGACCAUCGGAUGAUCCUUUGGGUGCCAGACUGAGGCAUCGGGCCAUCCAAUGACCACAAUGGAAGUUGGCUGAAGGGAUGCGUACCGAAUGAUCCGACAGCCAUUUAUUUGUACCCAUCGAUUUGGGCAAUGAAGAAAAUGAGAGGAGCACUGGAUGAUGUGAUACUAUGCCUAUGCGUCGAUGAACAUCGGACGAAGCAAAUUUACUUUGUGUACUUCGAGAGAGGUUUUGGGCGAAAAUUCUUCAGCACUGGAUGUCGGAGGCAUCAGAUGAAGCACCGGAUGAAUCGGUGCAGCAAAUCAGUCGAUGGAAUGCGUCGGUGAGGAAUUUUGGGCGUAGGGAGGUCUAUGGCUAGUUGCACCGGAUGUUCCGAUACCUCUAAAAUGUAACCGUCGGAACAUCCGAUGGUAUAUUUUAACUAGCUGUUGGAGCAACGGCUCUUUGAAGUCUGGGGGCUAUUUAUACCCCUACCACUCGCUCAUUUAGAGUUGCUGAAGUGUCCAGGAGUGCAUUCAAGACCACAAGACUCAUCAAGAACACAUCCGUGCUACCAAAAAUGAAAAAGUGAUUGACCUAAGGCUUAACACAUACUUAGAGAAAUAAUUAGUGCUAGGAUAGACCUAGAGAGAGUGAGUGCAAGGUGCUGCUACCUUGUGAUUGGUUUACGGAGUGAACCACCAUUGUAAGCUUCGUGUGCUGGCGUCUUAGAGUCUUGGUGGCUUGCCGGCAAGUCUUCGACCCUCCAUCUUGGUGUGGAGCGACGACGAUGACCAUGUGCGGGGGACGAGAAGACCCCUUCCUUCGUGGAGAAGUUUCGUAGUGAAGAUGACAUCAAGGUGACCGGAAGAGAGGGACUGGUGAGCCUUGCCUUAGUGGCAAGCUUCUCAUCCAGCUUGGCGAGAGCCUUUGUGACGAGUCCAAGACCUUGACCGGGAGAGAAUUGGUGACCGGGAGCAUAUCCUUGAUGGAGCUUCAACGUGGACUAGGGGUGGCAUUUGCCUACUGACAUCAUGGGAUAAAUCAUCGUGCCGAAUUUGCCUCACCUUCCUAACCUACUCAUUCACGUUUCCGCAUUUCGUACUUCCUACUUGAGGGCAUUUACUUACUAGAGUAGUAUCUUGAUAUAGGAUUGGCUCUAAGUUGCAAAACUCUUUGUGGGAGGGAAGUUUCACUAGAUCAACUAUAUUUGCACAUCUAAACAACAUGAUCCAGUUUAUGUUUCUAGUAGAAGCCAUAAGCUGAGGAUUUUAAGUUUGCCUAAUUCAUCCCCUCCCUCUCGUAGGCUACGAGCACUGAUUUCUUGUAUCUUCCAAUGUAGACACCUUUAUUCCAUACUUGAAUUUAAUACUACUCAUCUCUUAUUAUAUCUUGGAUGGUGUGUAGAAACUAGAUCUUGGUUUUUUCUCUUUCUUCAUUUAUGCCACAUCAUCUUUUAUUCUAAGUGGCAACUCAUUUAAUUCUAUGGACACCAUCCUAGUCAUCGGAUUGGGACUGCCUUGUAGGGUGGUGGUGUCUUCUUUUUAGCAAGUGUUCUCUCUCUCAUAUUAAGGCCCCCGGCUUCUCCUCCCAAAGACGACUCAGGGCUCGUUUGUUUGUUCCGAAGAGUCGGAGAAGCAACAGCUCUCCCAAAUGGGUCGUAAAAGCACAUUUUGGCUUCUUGAACUAUCACAAAAGGUACACAAUGGACAUUAGUUAUUAUGAGAUCGACUGCAAAAGUGACAGCUAGACCACGUCUCUUACUUACGUCUUCCGUGUUGCAUUAUUGCAUAUCAAAAACCCAUUUUCCAGUGGUUAUAAAAAUAAAUAAUUGGAGGCAACAGAACGGCAGCAAAUUAAAUAUGUGCCCUGCACAUGAGUCUGCGUUAUGGCAGCUGCACGUACGCUCGCACGACUGAUAAAAGGGGGCCAAGGGUGUGUCCUGUCGAGUCGGAUCGCCUCUCUAUCUCAACAAGCACAAGGACACAAUAGAACACGAGAACAAGUACGAGGGACAAAUCUUUAUUACUGAAUUGGAUGAUUUACGAUAAAAAUCUUCCUCGUAUAUAUUCUUCAAACCUAGCUUAAAGUUUUAGUAAAAACCUACGAACAACUAGGACUAGGACUUCUAGUCCUUCCUUUCCUUCCAGGAAUCUCAGCUUCCAUAUUCUGAGAUUGAGUCCUGUUGUUUUACGACAUGUCCAUCUGCCAAGCACCAAAAUACGCGUGCACACACAUAGAAGAGAGAGUGCCGAUGAGAAGUCUGCUCUCUCUCGAGAGGGAGAUUGAGGAUGCCCUUUGGGCACGAGGUGGUGAGUGCAUCAUGAGUGCAUCAUCUGUGUGGGAUUGGGAGGCACUGGAAUACGAGGCUAUACAAUGUAGGGAUCCGAAUCUCUGAUUCUACCGAUGUUAAUCCGGAGUCCUGUUCAAUGGGCCAGAAGAGGUCCUAAUCCUGCAAAGUUCUCUAGUUCAUGAGGCGGUGAUGUUGGCUUCCCUUUCCUUCGUCGGGGCCGCACUGCAUCGCUAGAGACCUGAGCCAGUCUUCUGUGUUGUCCGGUGCCUGCACAAGCACGGCAGAAUGCUCCGCGUUGUCCUAGCUGAACGGUGGCACGAUGGAGGUGUAGUAACCGUAUCUCACAGGGAGCUGAGCGUGCUGUUCUUAGCAUGGUUUUCCCUAUGCUGCCGGUCACUCAUGUAUGCACAUGGUGUAUUGAACCUAAUAAUCUUUCAUUCCCGUACCAAAAUGUGUCAUCCACUGGGUGUAGGGGCACCAAGUGUUGUCAUUUAAUUUGUCGGUGGUUCCAAUGAUCUUGCUCAAGACCAUGAAGGUGUUGAAAGGGUUCCUCCUCCGGAGGUGAAUGCUCAAGCGCUGGAAACGAUCAACGAAGUUGUCAUAAGGCUAUGGUUUUAUGUCUUUACAAGAGGCUCUGCAAGCACUACUGCUCCAAAGAGCGAAACUUCAAGUUCAAGGUGUGAUUGUGAUUGCUUCCAUGUUGUUUCUCAGCUUGAAACAGCAACAGCAUUUGGAUCAAUAAUCCAAACUACGCGCAUCUUGCGAUUCGUUUUCUCUUAUCCAAUUUUGGGAGGAAGAGACGUCCGGAUGCCCAAGUUACGUUACAACCACUGUUUAUUUGAGAGCGUAGGAAGUGAUGCACGCUUCUUGUGUACGUUUUCCACGAUGCGCGUCAUGACUCACGACCUUAAAUGGGAGUCAAGAGUACCCAUCACCCAAGCAACAGAAUGCGCGCGCGCGCACACACAAAAGAGCGCUAAUGGGAAGUGGUUGCGCUGUCGUGAGCGAGGAUGUCUUUGUGCAUGAGAUGAAGAGGGUAAAUCGUGGGACUGGGAGGCACUGGAAUCCCUGGCUAUACAGGAUGGAACAAAGUCACUGCCCAUCAACCCAUGCUAAUCUGGAGUCAACGGAGUGACUGAGAGGUCCCAGUACCCGAGAAGCAUUCUCUAGGCUGUGCCACCUCAUAGUCAUUGCGUUCCCCUUCCAUUGAAAUUGAUUUGUGUCCUGUGUUGUUCGGAGCUUGCACAUGCACAAGUGGACAACCCUCUACCAGUUGCAGGAUUGGGUGGUGGCACUGGCUAAUGUUGUUUUUCGUUCUUCAAUAGCCACAGUUGUGUAAGCUUCUGCCGUAGAAUACCAUGCUUCAUUUUAUCCCGGAUUAAUUCUUGGUUCCACAAGCUGUGUUCACACAGUUCCAAAUGUCGCUCACAGAGGCUAUUACUUGACCAACCGUACCAAAAUGCUACCAGGUGCUCGAAGAGUUCGUCAUUUGUUUGGGACGGCUGUCGCAUAGUUGGUUUGUCUGUCUCCGAAGUCCAAACAUAUCACUUGUUGGCCGUACUUGUCAAUUGUCAUCGCAACUCGCAAAUGUGCGUGCUGUUGUUCUGUUUCGAUCCUGUUGCAGGUUGGAUCUAUUAGUGGGUGGUCCUGUCUCCUUCCACAAAGUAUUCUCUCUCCUUUAUAACAGUCUAUAAAAUUACACUAUGAACGUUUAUGUAUUAUGUCCUUUUAAAAACAUUAAUUAAUUUUUAUGGGACCGCAGAAGUGAUAAUAAACCGACGGCAUCUCUUAUGUACGUUUUCCGUGCCACAUUAGUGCCUGUCAUAAAAAAACCAUUUACCAUUGGUUAGAGAGAUGAAAGUUUUGAAGCAGCAGAAUGGCACAUGAGACCACGCUAUGACAGAGGUUGCAUGGCCGAUAGAUCAUCGUGACCAUAAAAGGGUGUGACCUGCUGGCAGUGGCGGAGCCAGCAUUUGCAAGUUGGGUAUUCCCAUUUUCUAUGGAAAAAAAAAUCUAGGAAGCCAUCCACACUAAUUUUCCAAAGUCUUCAAAUAUCUAUAGAAAGAAAAUUAUACACACUAAUUUACUAAUUCGCACCAUCGAUUAUGCUGCAAAAUUGGUGCUCACAUAUAACAUGUUCUAUCGCUCUUUUGCCAAAGUUGAGUUAAGCCCCUGCUGCUGCCUUCCAUGCACGAUUGCGUUGUUCAGCUGCUGCUGCGCCUGGGACAGUUGUGUUGUUCGGCACCCGGUCAUCCCCUUGUGGCGCGGACUUAGCUGCCUGGCACAUCCAGCAUGCGGCCGGUCGGCCUGCCGCCACAUGGUGCUUGCCGCCUCAAGGACUCCAAGCGGAGCCCGCCGGCUUGUGCUCACCGACUCGUUGCGCCCGCCACUCGCCAGGCCGCUAGACCUUUGGUUCGAUUCAGUUUUGGGGUAGGGCAACGACAAGGAGAGGAGUGCAUGUACAUCGCUGUGUGCACCGUGCGUUGUGGCGAGAGUGCUAGCCUGCGAGGAGAACGACGAGAGGCGGAGAGAAGUGGGAUGUGUGGGCUGUGGACUGUUCUGAUGGCAGGCAGGGGAGGGUGAAAAACGCUGGCUGGGUUGGUGUGGCACUUUGGGCCGAUUUAUAACUUAAGAACCAGAUAUUACAGCCCAAUAUAGUAUCUACAUAUGUAUACACUUGAUUUAUACUGGUCUUUUGCAAAUUGCAAAACACUACUGGAAACUCAGUAUCGUCCCAAGACUCAGUACCAGUUGCAUUUUGAUCUGUACUAAUGUGAGCAUUAGUACCAGGCUUAACGGCUAGUCCCCGAGGAGCCCCCGUGUACCGGGUGGAAGCUUCACCCGGUACUAAAGAUCACCCAUUAGUACCAAUUGAAGCCUCCAGCCGGUACUAAUGUGCAUGAGUGCCUUUAGUACCGGGUGGAGGCUUGACCCGAUACUAAUGACCUUUAGUACCGGGUGACGCCUCCACCCGGUACUAAAGGGGUACCUCUCCUCACGCAUCAGCCCCCCUUCUCUCUCUCACCCCACACUCACCCCCAUCCCCACACUUGUCCGCUCAUCCCCUCAUCCGACCUCUCACCCGCGCCUCUCUCUCUUCUUCUCCCCGCCGAAUCCCCUCUCUCCCCCCUAGCUAAAUCCCCUCUCUCUCUCCCACACACAGAUCCCAUCGCUACCCCUCACCUCUUACAUGUGGUGAGGACCGGCGGUGGGGCAAGGAGUGACGAAGGCAAGAAGGGAGGGCGCGGCGAGGCGGUGAAGUGUCGGCAGGGCGGCGGCGGGGCCAGGAGCGGCGGAGCUUCGGUGGGAGGGCACGGCGGCGGAGCGUCGACAAGUGUGGUAGAGCAAGGAGUGCGUGGAUCUUGGAGUAACGACCACCUUUGCCUCAAAUCUGGCAGCGGCGGCAACCGACGGGCUAAGGAGCAGCGGCGGCGGCAACCGGCGGAGGUGGCUGAGCAGCGUAAGUACGCUGCCUCCCUCUCCCCUCUCUCUCUCUGGUGCGGGACUUCAGCGCUCGAGCGGAUGGUGGUGGGGUGCGGCUGGGGCUCCGGCGCUUGGGCGGACGGUGGCGGGGUGCGGCAGGGGCUCCAGUCAACGGAUUUUUUUUAUUUUUAAUACCCCUUUAGUAUCGGUUAUUUGACCUGAUACCCCCUUUAGUACCGAAAUAGCAAUACCAGUUGCACAACUGGUACUAAAGGGUGGUUUACACCCGAUACUGAAGGUGCAUUUCCCAGAAGUGAAAUUUGGGUAUUCGUGGCACCAUGCUGCCUCCGCCCCUGCGUGCUGGCCGCUGCAAGGAUCAACAUGCACACAACCACAUUGAUGAGACAUGAGAGAGUGCCGAUGAAGGUCGCUGGGUUCUCGAGAGGGAGGGAGGAUGACCUUUGUGCACGAGGUGACGAGGAGUGUAUCACACGCAUGGGAUUGGGAAGCACUAGAAUUAGAAUUUGAGGCUAUACUAGUAGUGUUUUGGCCACUGCUCAUGUUAAUCUGGAGGUCUAUCUGAUGGACCAGCAAAGGUCCCCAGUUCUGUGUAGUUCUCUGGAUCAUCAUGACAGAACGGGGAUGUUGGUAUCCUUCUCGUUCAGCUACGCUGCACGGUCUCGAAAACUAUCAAGUCGUGUGCUGUCCGGGGCCUGCAACAGCACAAGCGCACAACUCUCUGUAAACCCAGCUAGAUAGUGCCAUGAAGGCUGGUGUGGUACCUCACCGGAAACUGGGGAUAUUGCAUCUUUUCUUAGCAUGGUUCUUCCCUGUCUCACCAAAGCAAUGAUAUUCUGAGACCUGAGUGCUGCCACAGGUGUGAGGUGUCAUGCUUAAGGAACUCACAUGGGGCUCCUCAUACAAUUCAAAACUGACACUAUUUUCCCUUUUGCAUGACAACAAAGAGUAAUAGUCGUGUAAAGCUUCCGUAGUAGAAAGAAUACCAUGGUUGAUGAGUCAAAUAAACACUAUUUUUUUUGUUAUACCAUCGAUUCACUAAAUGAACACCGCAAGGUUCAGUGCCAAAUGCACUGUCAGUGUCAAAUGCACUUCACCAACCAUACUACUUAUCUUUCAUUCCCAUGUCAAAAUGUAUCAUCCACUAGGUGUAGGACCACCAAGUGUUGUCAUUUAAUUUGUGGGUGGCUCCAACUGUUCAACAAAUGAUCUAGCCAAAGAAUAUAAAGAUGGAAAUGGUUCCUCCUCUAGAUCUGAAUUCUCAAGCACCAUUUGUGCGCUUCAAAAACCAAUUUCUCACGGCUUGGAGAAAUACAAGUUUAUUCUGAGAAAGCAGAAUUGUAGUAGUCACGUGCCGCUGCACAUGAAAUGACGCGUCAUGACUCAUGACCUUGAAAGGGAGUCAAGAGUAGUAUCCAUCACCCAAAGAAAUACAAUGAGCAAACACACAUACAAAAGAGCGCUAAUGGGAAGUGGUCGCGCUCUUGUGAGUGAGGAUGUCUUUGUGCAUGACGUAGAGUGUAAACUGUGGGAUUGAGAGGCACGGGAAUAUAAUUCCUGUCAACGCCAAUCAACCCCCAUGCUAAUCUGGAGUUCUGUUCGAAGAAGCGACAGAGAGGUCCCUGGUACCCGAUAAGCAUUCUCUAGGCUGUGACACCACGAUGCCACCUCAGACGUUGCGUGCCCCCUUCGUUGCACCACUGUCCUGUGUUGUCCGGGGCUUCCACUGGCACAUGUGCACAACCUGUCCCAGGAUUGGGAUGGUGGCACUAGAAUUCCUGGCUAAUUUUAACUUUCUUUUUGCAGGAGCCAUAGUUGUGUAAGCUUCCAUAGUAGAAUAACAUGCUUUAUUCCAGAUUCUUGGUUCACAAGCUGUUCAUAGCCAAACGUCGCACACAGUAGCAGGCUGGGCCUAUUAGUGGGUGGGCCUGUCUCCUUCCACAAAGUACUCUCUCUUUUUUAAAAGUCUAUCUUGGCUCCUGAACUAUUGCAAAAAUUACACUGUGGACAUACAUUAUUAAUUAUUAUGCAUGGAACCGCAGAUUUAAUAGACAGGCCGCAUUUCUUAUGUACUAUUGGUUAGAGAAGUUCAAGUUUGGAGGCAGCGAAAUGGCAGCAAACAUGUGCCGUUGCACAUGAGACCACAUUAUGGCAGCAAUUGCAAUCAUCAUGACCUCAAAACUAAAGGGGGUCAAGGGUGUGUCCUUCUAGCUGCUGCAAGCAUCACAAUUCACACAACCACACCGAGGAGAGAGUGCCGGUGCAUGAGAUCGAGGUCGCUGGGCUCUCGGGAGGGAGGGAAGAUGGCCUCUGUGCAGAGGUGACGAGGUGUGGGAUUGGGAGGCACCGGAAUUCGAGGCUAUACGGCGAAGAUUGUUGGGGCUGCCUAUGUUAAUCUGCAGUCCUGUUCAAUGGACCAUGAGAGGUCCCAGUUCUGCAGAGUCCUCUGGGACGUAAUGACAUCAUGGGGAUGUCUGCUCCCUUUUCCUUUGGCUGAGCUGCACCGUCUCGCAAACUGAUCAUGUCGUGUGCUAUCUGGGGCCUGCACAAGCACAUGCUCAUAGCUCUCUGUAAGAACCAGCUAGAUGGUGCCAUGAAGGCUGGAGUGGUGCCUCACCAGAAACUGGGCUUAUUGCAUCUUUUCUUAGCAAGGUUCUUCCAAGUCUUACCUCCUCCCAUAGAGCUGAAUUCUCAAGCGCCAGAAGCAAUCGAUGAAGUUGUUGUAAGCCUCAAAUUAACGACUUUACAAGCAUGUUAUGGUUGGUGGAAGAGACUCUCCAAGCAACACAGCUCCAUCUGUUUUUGGCAUUUGCAUAUGUCUCAGCUAGCCUACAAUGGGUACCUUAGAUCGAAUUGCAAGAAGAUUUGCAGACACUGAGAGAUCACGCAGACAAAAAUAACACCUUGUGCUAUACCUCUGGGAGGUUAGCUGAAUACACUUCACGAAUGUUCUACAAAUUUAACCCAGACAUUCUCUCUUCUUCUUAAAUGAAUAAGCAGUGCUCCUGCUUUAUUUCAAAAAAAAAUAUUCUAGAAAUUUAGCUUUGGCUCAAUGUCUACACCAAAACCCUUGCAUGGAUUUGGCAGAGCAAAUAAAUGCACGCCACGGCAAAUUUUGUGCUUGACUUCUUCUCAAUGACAGGCUAUACACGAGAAAUGUUCUUAGGAGGAGAAAGACUUUCCUACAGCCUGGAUACAUUAUUGUGUCUCGUGCAUGGGUGAUAUGGAGGAAACUUUGCCGCACAUAUUUUUGAAUGCUCCACAAGUGUUUGUUGUUGGUUUGCCAUUGGCAUUCAGUGGAGCACACAGCUGAACCUAAUGCAUAUGGUCCUAAAGACAAAGGAAAAGUUUCGAUCGGGCUUUCUUCAUGGGAAUUUUUGUAAUUGUAUUAGCGUGUGUGCAUAUGGAAAAGGAAUAUCUUAAUCUUUGAAGGCAAGUUUCGGAGCAUGGGUACAUGGAAAGUAGCUAUUUAGGCAUGAGAUUAUCCUGCAUUUAGCUAGGAGAACGUUUGUGUUUCAUCUCACUAACGCCACAUGGCCAGAUGCUGCAAUUUGAUUGCUUGUUUUUUCUAUUAGCACCUUGCUAGCCUCAUGAUUGCACAUACUCCUGCUAGUUACAUACUCCUGGUAGGAGCUCAUGAAUGUCGAUGAUGCCAACGACCAAGCAGAUGAAUGGAUGAUGACAAUGCUUCCAUGACAGCUUCUGAUGAAGGUGGAGAUGAUUAAUCGUGUGCUAAUUAAUAACUAGAGCAAUCGCAUUGGAGAAACCGGUAGGCUUUCUUAUUAGGACGGCGAUUGCAUUGGUUGAAGCACUUAGGUCCCACGCGGGACUCUGAGCCACCAUUUACACGGGAACGGAAGUGGCAGAGGAUUUCAUUGUGCUUGUGCAAGCCCCUGACUCCAGAGAACAGGAUCAUCCCCA